AGGAGGGGGAGGAGGAGGAAGUUGAAUAUGAAGAUGAUGAAGAGGAAGAUGAACACAUAGAAACCGAUGAUGAUAGUGAAGAUUAUUAUAGUGAUAAUUAAGUGAUAUGGCUGAUGUUAUUGCUCGAUCUCACGGGGGUGAUGGUGGAGGAUGCGAUCCUCCACGUGGACCGUCAGAUAUCCCAGUUGAUUGUGAACGAGCGCCUCCAAACAAACGUGGACGCCAUAAAGGAUUGAACACGCGGGAAAAAAGGGAACAGUUGGGGCGUCAUCUCCCUCUCGAGUGGGAUGUGCGGGGGAGAACAUAUAAAGAGAUCGGAGUGUACAGCUCAAAUUUCUC